UGAGAUAAAUGACACGUGUACUGCUGGGACCUGGUGGAGGGAUCUCUUUCGCUGAAGCUUCCUGUGGGGAAAGCUGUCGUCCAAUCACUGUCCUUCCACCCCACAGAGACCCGCCUCCUCACCGCCAUGGAGGGGCGUGUCCAGGUGUGGGGGGCGGAGCCUGAGGAGGAGGAGGAGGAGGAGGAGGACGCCAUGGCCACGGCCACGUAGAGGUGGAGGAAAUAUGAGUUUGCAUCGUGAGAAGAUUGUAUUUUCUAUCAUAACAAUUAAAUACUCAACUUUCAACACCAUCGACCUCAUGGUGGCAUAAAAACCUCUUACUUCCAUGUUUAGUUUUUGAGUCACAAGGCGUCGUUGGAAAGAAAUAAGAAUAUUCAGAAAACAUAAAUCUCUCAAAAGCAGUGUUUGUAACCUUUUAAUUGGACUAAACAUUUUCAUUUUUUUUGCUAGAAGUGAGUUAUUUAAAUCUACUGCUUUGAUUUAGAUAACUUCAGAUAUCUGGAUGAUCUUAUUGGUUCAUUUCUUCAUUAAAAUGUAAUUCUCCUAAGAUUGAAGCUAUUGCUAAACAUAGUUUAAUACAAAAACUACAAAGUAAAAACAACCUUUUAGAGGCUUUGGUUCACAAAUGUACAGAAAACAUGACCUGGAUUUGGAUUUAAGUGGAUGAUAGUUAUUUGCACACGACUUUGAUUUUUGUCUGUGUGCAAAACUUCUAUUUUUGUACAAAACGUUAAAUAAACCUGUUUUUCAUGUCA